rfam:Pseudoalteromonas ulvae strain TC14 Contig_28, whole genome shotgun sequence.
CCAAUUUCCCCCGUGAUCACGCCCUGAAAAUAACCAAUGAUGAGUCAUGUAUUUCAUGGAUGAAAUUCAAGGUGAAGCUCGGCCAUGGAUGGCUUAUCUUCACCGUUGACGUUCACAUCAAUUGAUUAUUUGCAGGAUUUAGCGUGAUGUCGGGGCGCUGAGA